CUCUUAGCCUCAUUUUUUCCUUAAGUUUAGUCUAUGCUCUUAGCCUCACACAAUAUUAUUUAUACUUAUGGAUUUCCUUAAAUCAUUUUAAUCUCUCAAAAUAAUCUAAGAGCUCUAGGCAGGUAGCUCAGUUGGUUGGAGUGUCAUUCCAUACACUAAAAGGUGGCAGGUUUGAUUCCUGGUCAGGGCACAUACCUAAGGUUGCAAGUUUCAUCCCCGGUCUGGGCGUGUACAGCAGGCAACUGAUCUAUGUUUCUCACAUCAAUGUCUUUCUCUCUCUCUCUCUCUCUCUCUCUCU